rnacentral:rRNA from 1 species
GAUGAACGCUGGCGGCGUGCCUAAUACAUGCAAGUCGAGCGACCGGACGAGAAGCUUGCUUCUCUGAUGUUAGCCGCGGACGGGUGAGUAACACGUGGAUAACCUCCCUAUAAGACUGUGAUCACUUCGGGACACCGUAGCUAAUACCUGCUAAUAUUUUGAACCGCCUGGUUCCAUACUGACCGACGGCCUUGCUGUUACUUAUAGAUUGAUCCGCUCUUGAUUAGCUAGUUGGUCAGGUAACGGCUUACCAAGGCAACGAUGCAUAGCCGACCUGAGAGGAUGAUCAGCCACACUGGAACUGAGACACGGUCCAGACUCCUACGGGAGGCAGCAGUAGGGAAUCUUCGGCAAUGGGCGAAAGCCUGACGGAGCAACGCCGCGUGAGUGAAGAAGGUCUUCGGAUCGUAAAACUCUGUUAUUAGGGAAGAACAUAUGUGUAAGUAAAUGUGCACAGCUUGACGGUACCGAAUCAGAAAGCCGCGGCUAACUACGUG